rnacentral:rRNA from 1 species
UGCGUAGGCGGAAUUUUAAGUCAGUGGUGAAAUCCUGCAGCUCAACUGUAGAACUGCCAUUGAUACUGAUCUUCUUGAAUUUAGUUGAGGUGGGCGGAACGUGUAAUGUAGCGGUGAAAUGCUUCGAUAUUACACAGAACACCGAUUGCGAAGGCAGCUCACUAAACUAACAUUGACGCUGAGGCACGAAAGCGUGGGUAGCGAACAGGAUUAGAUACCCUGGUAGUCC